rnacentral:rRNA from 1 species
GACAGAGGGUGCAAACGUUGUUCGGAAUUACUGGGCGUAAAGCGCGUGUAGGCGGCCAUGCAAGUCGGAUGUGAAAGCCCUCGGCUCAACCGGGGAAGUGCACUCGAAACUGCAAGGCUAGAGUCUCGGAGAGGAUCGUGGAAUUCUCGGUGUAGAGGUGGAAUUCGUAGAUAUCGAGAGGAACACCGGUGGCGAAGGCGGUUCUCUGGGCCUUACCUGACGCUGAGGAGCGAAAGCGUGGGGAGCGAACAGG